rnacentral:lncRNA from 1 species
UGGGAGUGUCCCUGUUGGCUGGUGCAGCGUCGAGGCGCGCAGCAUUUUGAGAGGCUUCUCGACGGGUGGCAGCCUCGUCGGCCGGCGGCCGUGCCUCGACUCGCCUCCACCCUCCGCUCCCUUCGCCGCGCUGGCGAUGGCCCGGCCUGCCUUGCUAUUCGCCGCCCUCGAGCCCUGCCAUAUCUUGUCGUCAUCCCAUCGGCGCCGGAAUCCAUCCCACUUCCUUUUUGUUGCGCAUAAUAACAGGGAGUCUCCGUAUGUAGCGACGGUCGCGGCCCCCUUCCUACGACCUUUGGAAGCAGAUCCCGCGUAAGAUGCCCCUACUUCUUCAACCAGCUAGAUGAGGAUCCAUGUCCUUCGUGUCCUAGCCGCUACCCUCUGGACAGGUUUCUCUCUUUUCCUCUUACCUUCUCUCCCUCUGUAUGUGUGUGCAUGAGUCUGUCUGUAUUCUUCUGAUUAGUCACUACUGAUGUUUACAUUAAUUGACAUGUUAUGCAGGACGAGUAUUGUGCAGGAAGCCCCCAUUAGUAGGUUUAUAUUAUGGUUUGGCUUUGGCGUCUGUAUAUGUUUAUUCCCAAUUAGGAAUCAGCUACUGUACCAUAGUAGCAUGUCUCUCAUUCUGAAUCUCAAACGUAUUUUAGAAAUCUCAUAUUAAUCAUUUAAUUUAUGACAUAAUUGGAGAAUCCUCAAACAAAAUUUGUUGAUUUGAUGGUUGCAAACCUUGAUGUUUCAAUUUUUCAAAUGCCAUGUAAUGUUUCUCAUAGGCUAGACAUAUAUAUGUUGGCUUAAAUUUACAUUUGUGCUUGGCUCUCUACCUAAAUUCAAUUUCUUCCUUUAUUUUUGUUGGUUUGAUGAUGCAUUUCUCUCAGAGCUUAGUU